UUUAAUAUCACUAGUUGAAAAAAGGAAAUCAACACCGCACUUUUGGCACCGGUUUUUGAAAACCGGUGGGAAAGAAAUGGGCGGGAAUGGGAAUACAGACUUUUGGCACCGAUUCCUAUUAAACCGGUGGGGAUUUAUACUUUUUGCACCGGUUUAACCCGGUGCCAAUUAAAAAAGAGAAAAAAAAGGAGGAGAAAGGGAUUUGGCACCGGUUCAGUUCGAACCGGUGGGAAAUCUAUUGUAAAAUACAAAAAAAAAAAACCCGGAUAUACUCUUUCUUUCUCUUGCUUUCAUUUCCUCGAUCUUUCCUCCUCUCUCAUCUGAUCUGCCUCUCUCUCUCUCCUCUAUUGAAGCGUACUCGAAUUUCCCUCUUCGUUCUGUUCUUCUCUUUCAAUUCCCUCCCAUUUUUGCAUCUCCUAUUCUUCCUCCCAGCUUUCCCUCUCUGUUUUCGCAUCUCCCUCUCGUUUUCGCAUCUUCUUCUGCACUCUAUUGAAGCAGCUCGCUCUCUCUCCAUUGAAUUUGUUUACGCGCUUUCUCACUCCAUUGAAGCAAUACCUCCAUUGAACCAGCUCUGGCCUCCAUUGAACUCACUUCGAGGGUUGUGGUAAUAUAGGGUUUGUCAUUAAAGCGCGCACGACUACACCUCCACCCUAACGGCCUCCUUGUCAUGGCUACACCUCCACCGAUUCUGAGCUUUCUCACCUCCAUUGAACCAGCUUCGAGACUAACCCUGGAGUACCUGUUGUAUAUGCUGGAUUUGGUGCUCUGAUGCUCACAACAUGUAUCAGCUAUUUAUCUCAUGCAUAGGUGAAAUAUGGGGCUAUCAUUUACCAAAUUGUUUAGCCGGUUAUUUGCCAAGAAGGAAAUGCGAAUCGUUAUGGUGGGUCUCAAUGCGGCUGGUAAAACUACAAUUCUUUACAAGCUUAAGCUGGGAGAGAUUGUCACCACCAUUCCCACCAU